rnacentral:rRNA from 1 species
CAGCACCCCAAGUGGUCAGGAUGAUUAUUGGGCCUAAAGCAUCCGUAGCCGGCGCUGUAAGUUUUCGGUUAAAUCUGUACGCUCAACGUACAGGCUGCCGGGAAUACUGCAGCGCUAGGGAGUGGGAGAGGUAGACGGUACUCGGUAGGAAGGGGUAAAAUCCUUUGAUCUAUUGAUGACCACCUGUGGCGAAGGCGGUCUACCAGAACACGUCCGACGGUGAGGGAUGAAAGCUGGGGGAGCAAACCGGAUUAGAUACCCGUGUAGUCC